UUAUUCUUAAAACAUUAAUCACUAAUAAUUAACUUUAGAAAAUGUCCAUUUAAACAAAUUCACCAAUUUCCCUCAUUUUGUGGAUUUCCCUCGUUGUGUUGGUUUACAUGGAAUUCAGAGGAUAGAACUGGAGUUGGUGAAACAGAAUUUGGAAUCUAAUCUUUUCCCAUUUCCAAUUUUAAGCUCUAAAUUCCGAUAAUCAAAAGUUCGAAUAUUUGACCGUUUACGAAAAUCACUUGGAGAAAUCUUGGUUAGGGCGUUGGAAAUGGUAUGAUUUUCUCCAGAAUCUGCAAAUGAUUAAUAUGAGGUAUGGGCCUUAAAUUUCUUUUCCUCCUUUCACGUGAACGGGGAAUGGUUUUAAUAAGCUACUAAUUUUUCGUUUGUUAUCGUUCAUGUUCGUCUAUAAUUUUAUAUUGAUGAUAUGAAUUAUAUUGCUUUAAUUUUGCCUGCAUCAUACGUAUUUUGUUUGUGCAGCGUAUAAUUUGUAAAAUAGCAUCUAUGUUGGAAUUGAAUUCAGGAAUCUUAUUGUAAUGUCGAUAGAAUCAUAAUCACUAAUGACCUCAGUUAAAAUAUUAGCUUUCUGGAGGCUAGGUAAAGUGACAACUUAUAAUUCCCCACAAAGAUAACUUUUUUGGAUAUAAUUUAACAAAAUUCAAGAAAUAAUUACAUUUCAUCUAUGUAGGUCUCAAAACUUAGGAAUACACACACAUUCACCCUAUCAGGGAAGUGUGAACUUAUAACUUUGGGGAUGGAGAAGGAAGCAUACUCUAUUCUAUGAUUUUAACUUAAUAUAGGCUUCUACAAACAUUUUCUUAUUCUACCUGGAGAUGCUUGAUAAAUUUAUAUACAAUUUGCUUUGAUUACCAAUCGAUCCUACCUCAUUUGGAAGUUCAGUUUCUUGAUGCAAUAGGCAAAUAAGAAUGCGAAGAAGACCGUGAAACCAACCAACACUGCGGCAACUGGUCCUUUAAAGUUGGGAUCAUAACCAAAAUGAUCUUGAAUAUAAUUUUUAAUCAUAGGGGCGGAGGACAUCCCAGGCACUGUAAUGGUUUCCUCCAUGUCUCCAUACUGGCCUAUAAUCAGUCCGUACACUGUCCAUGCCACUGGGCAAAUCCAGUAGUACCAUACCCACCAUUUGGGAAUACUCUGAAAUUUCAAGAGGGGAAAAUUUCAAAAAAUGUGCUCAAUUUGAAGAUCAUCAUUAAACUUUAAUAAUUUUGACUGAAAUAACUUACUGGUCUAGGGAUAAAGAAACCAGAGAAUAGAUUGAAAAGUGCAUAAAAAGCUGCUGCAAAGAUUGCUGCCACUUGGUGGUUUGGCGUGAUGGAGACAGUCAUCAUUCCAUAGUAUGUGAAGUAGAGGAAGGAAAAGAAGUUCACAAAGAAGAACCAAAAGAAUUUAGCAGCUGUCCACUGAAAGCUCACCAUAGCGUACACUAUAAGAGUAUAAUACGUAGUCUGAACAAGGACAUAUGGUAUUUCUACAAUGACCUGCAAGUAAUGUAACCAACAAACUAAUAUUAAAUUGAUUUAGCUUUUUUACUACAUGUAUGUUCGGGCAUUCAUUAACUUCAUUUUGAGAAGUCACAAGUUGAUCUCUCAUGCUAUGAAAAGUAUGUUAAGAUGAAGAUAAUUCGAAUGAGAAAUUAAAUCUUGACCUGUGCGAUGGCAUAUGGCAACGCUGAGUACAUUCCUGCUGCUCUUUCCCUAUAGAAUACAGUUCUUUCGAUGGCUACUAUUGGCUGUACGGUUGAGCAGUUAUUGAUUCCAACAAACAACACAGAAGUAUACAUGGCCCCAAUGAUAGUCAAAAGAUCUGCACUACUUUCCCUGAAGCCACAAAAUAAGAAAGUAGGAAUCAACACCGUGGCAUUCAAGUCUUGUUACUGAUACUUUUGAAAUAAAUUCCUAGAUAACCUAGAUUUAGAGUAUGAACCUUUUUGUGCCAACUCUCCAGAAAAUUGUCCCUACCAUGAGUGCACAAGCCAAAGUGAAGAAGUAUCUCACUAGAUUAUAAUCAGGAGUUCUCCAGUAAGUCCACCAUUGCUUCCAGAGGCAGGACUUGAAUUGACCCCAUGUGGCUUGAGAGUACUGUGUGGGAAAAUAUAGGUCUUUUGCCCCAGGAGGGGGUGUACUCAACUCUUUCACUAGAGCCUUAUUUCGCCUGGGAAUGGACAUCGCUACACCAUGUCAUAAAAGACCAAAUGAAACAAAAGUUGAAGGAAAUGUAUAGAACUUUACCAUUUUGUUCAUCCAUCUUGGAGCAAACAUCUCAUUUACUGCGAUCGCAUUGUAACCAUAGCUCAGGGGUGAAACCCAGUAACCCCACCUCCACCAGACUGGAAUUUUUUCUGCAUGAAAGAAAAAUUUCCUAGUGAGUUGGAUGUUUCAUGUAUCUUGUUAAAUAUAUAUACCGUCAAUCAAAAUCCCUUUUUUUACUCUUUUGUUGUUUUGUUACACUCCCUUUGUCCUUGUCUAUAGACGAGAGAUUGGUUAUCCACUUAGAAUACUUUUUUUCAGCUUUUACUUUGAAAACUUUGUGGUUUCAAGUUUUAAAAAUAUUAAAGAAUAAAAAUUACUGAUUUCUUUGAAGAGAAACAAAAAACAAAGAAAUAAAGAUAUCAUCUGAUACAUAAUACAUUCCUGCUGUUGAUACAGAAGCAAUUGUAGGAGUGCUAAAAUAAUCGAGUUCGAAGGUUCAUUUUCAAGUCAUUUAGGAAUAGGCACGCAUUAUACAAUUUACUUUCUUAUUGCGCUCUUUCUGUCAUUAGCAUUACAUACUGUGCAAAAUUAUAAUGUGUUUUGCAAUUCAUAGUUGGGUUUUUGUGCUUGAACUAACCUCUAGGAAGGAUGAAACCACCCAAAAGGAACACAAGCAGAAGGGUAAGAGCACCACCAGUGUUUGAGAUAAUCAUGGUCCUGCAUAUUGCUGCAGUGAACCUGA
rnacentral:lncRNA from 1 species